rnacentral:rRNA from 1 species
CAUUCACGGAGAGUUUGAUCCUGGCUCAGGACGAACGCUGGCGGCGUGCUUAACACAUGCAAGUCGAACGAUGAAGCCCUUCGGGGUGGAUUAGUGGCGAACGGGUGAGUAACACGUGGGCAAUCUGCCCUUCACUCUGGGACAAGCCCUGGAAACGGGGUCUAAUACCGGAUAACACUCUGUCCUGCAUGGGACGGGGUUGAAAGC